rnacentral:rRNA from 1 species
UACGGAGGAUGCGAGCGUUAUCCGGAUUUAUUAGGUUUAAAGGGUGUGUAGGCGGAUUAUUAAGUCAGUGGUGAAAUCUCAGAGCUUAACUCUGAAACUGCCAUUGAUACUGAUAAUCUUGAGUACAGUUGAAGUAGGCGGAAUGUGUAAUGUAGCGGUGAAAUGCUUAGAUAUUACACAGAACACCGAUUGCGAAGGCAGCUUACUAAGCUGUUACUGACGCUGAUGCACGAAAGCGUGGGGAGCGAACAGG